rnacentral:rRNA from 1 species
CCUACGGGUGGCAGCAGUGAGGAAUAUUGGUCAAUGGACGCAAGUCUGAACCAGCCAUGCCGCGUGCAGGAAGACGGCUCUAUGAGUUGUAAACUGCUUUUGUACGGGGGUAAACGCAGAUACGCGUAUCUGUCUGAAAGUAUCGUACGAAUAAGGAUCGGCUAACUCCGUGCCAGCAGCCGCGGUAAUACGGAGGAUUCAAGCGUUAUCCGGAUUUAUUGGGUUUAAAGGGUGCGUAGGCGGUCGGAUAAGUUAGAGGUGAAAUCCCGAGGCUCAACUUCGGAAUUGCCUUUGAUACUGUUAGGCUAGAGAGUAGUUGCGGUAGGCGGAAUGUAUGGUGUAGCGGUGAAAUGCUUAGAGAUCAUACAGAACACCGAUUGCGAAGGCAGCUUACCGAGCUACAUCUGACGUUGAGGCACGAAAGCGUGGGGAGCAAACAGGAUUAGAUACCCUAGUAGUC